rnacentral:RNase_P_RNA from 1 species
AGCGCAGGACGGGUGAUCGCUGGCGUCGCUUUCGGGCGGCGCGGGAGGAAAGUCCGGGCUCCUAAAAGCAAGGUACUGGUUAACGACCAGGCACGUGCUGGCACGCUCUCGGGCGUGUCAGUGGGCGCGUGACGGAAAGUGCAACAGAAAGUAUACCGCCGGGAGAGCUUGUCUCUUCCGGUAAGGGUGAAACGGUGGGGUAAGAGCCCACCGCGUUUUCGGUGACGAAAACGGCACGGCAAACCCUACCUGGAGCAAGGCCAAAUAGGGAGGCGUAGUAGGUCUGCUCGACCGAUGCCUCCGGGUUAGGCCGCUUGAAGCUUGCGGCAACGCAAGCUCUAGAGGAAUGGUCAUCUCCAUUGUAUGAUUUUCAUAUAGUGAAGACAGAACCCGGCUUACAGUCCUGCGCGCCCA